GAUGGAUUCUAUCUGGUUGUCAGUGGUGCUGCAGUAGGUAAGUAUGAGAUGGAUUCUAUCUGUUUGUCAGUGGUGCUGCAGUAGGUAAGUAUGAGAUGGAUUCUAUCUGUUUGUCAGUGGUGCUGCAGUAGGUAAGUAUGAGGUGGAUUCUAUCUGUUUGUCAGUGGUGCUGCAGUAGGUAAGUAUGAGAUGGAUUCUAUCUGGUUGUCAGUGGUGCUGCAGUAGGUAAGUAUGAGGUGGAUUCUAUCUGUUUGUCAGUGGUGCUGCAGUAGGUAAGUAUGAGGUGGAUUCUAUCUGUUUGUCAGUGGUGCUGCAGUAGGUAAGUAUGAGAUGGAUUCUAUCUGGUUGUCAGUGGUGCUGCAGUAGGUAAGUAUGAGA